AGCCCCGUGGUGUAGUGGUCUAGCAUAAGAGACUCUGGAUCUCUUGGCGCCAGUUCGAAUCUGGCCGGGGCUG
rnacentral:tRNA from 1 species